UCCACUUGCAAAAGUUAGGGUCUGCAGAGCAGAAGGCUAACUCCCGAGGGGGGAUGAAAGUUUCCCCUUCUCUGUGUAGAGAAGUUUGAAAAUGCUCGCGCCAGACAAAUGGUGGUAGUCUCUGCCCGAUAACAUGACACUGAGCGGUGACAAGUGGUCAUGUUUCUAAAUAAAACCUACAUUCAUUAACAUGUGCCAGGCUUGAUCUCCUGGAAUGUAGGCCACGAGGGUAAGAAGGGGAACAAGCUCAGUGUAAUCUGCAGGGAGGAGGCGGCCACAGGUCUAAAGAAAGGAUAUCAAAAAUAAUGCCAGCCGCAGAGGCUCCACCCUUCUGGGAGGACAGGCAAAUUUCCUUGCAGGCUGUUUGUGACACUGGAAAGGCCACUUGAAAAAGACAAACCACUCAUGUGCAGACUAACCAAACAAAACUCCGCAAGAACAGCAAAUUGUAGUAGCAAAAUGGAGCAACUUCUCCUUUUCGUCAAUUCAACCUGCCAGCUCCCUGGUUAACUGGGAUUUGAGACUGAACACAGCUUUGGGAUUCUAAGCCUUCAGAUGUCUGGACCAUUGAAUAAUUUCGGCUGAGAUGCAAGUUUUCAUAUCUUUAUGUACCAGAGCGCUGAGCUUCUGGUUUACUCAACUACUUUGCAAGUCUGCAUUCCCGCAUGAACUCCUUGGGAAGGGGCCUCUAUCACUGCAUUCUCAGAGUCCAGCAGUGGCUGUGAGGUUGAAAAGGAAGCCAAAGAAUUGCCAUGUAGGAGAACAUAGCUCAUCACAUCACAGGUUGGAGAGUUAUACAGUGCUGACUCUGUCACUCAACCUGUGUGACCAUGGACCAACCAGUGCAUUGGCAAAAUGGGUGCAGUGAUAAUGCCCACAUCAGAAGGCACUGUGAAUGUCUGAGGCAAAGUAUGUACAGCCUGCAGCAUGGCCCUUGGCACAAAGGAAGGGUUCAAGAAAUACUGGUAUAGCACUGUUGCUAAACAUUUUAAAAAUUAAAAAACGUUCAUUCCACUUUUGUUUCAGUAUCAUUAAAAGAAAUCAACUCAACUUGAGUUAGACACUCUCUGAUGACUUCCUUAUAGAAUAAAAUAGUGUUUUCAGACUCGGCUUACAGACUUGUGGUGACAUAUGUACAAAGGGCACUAUUUUAUGUGCACAGGAUAGCAAAGGAAAGUGAUCUGAGAUUUAGAAAGCAUAUUGUGGGGUGGUCCCCAAAUGGCUAUAAAUCAAGAGCAUCAGUAACAUUCUAUCUCUCCUAACUGCCAUGAUGAUGAACAUCUGCAUAAAUAUUAAAGAAUUUAUUCAUUCAUUCUUUGAAAUAUUUAUCAAGCCCACACUAUAUUCAGUAAAUUUUUUUUUUGCUGGAGAUUGAACCCAGGGUCUACCACUUGGUAGGUGAGUGUCCUACCACUAAGUCAUAGGAAUAGCGCAGGCACUUGUGCUUGUGAACCAUUAGUAACACGGAUGAGGCCGCCUGAUCGCAUGGAACUUGCAUUCCAACGGGAAGCAAAAUUUGCCUACAAGCAAGCAUCUACUUAGUCAUUCCCUCCCUUAACAGCAAAUAACAGUGCAUCAUUCAGUCCCACUAGAAUCUGUAUUGCUCCUAAAGACCUUCAUAUUUUUAUCUUGACUGUUAAUCCCUUUUAUUCAUGCUGGCUUCUGCAACAGAGACUGACUGUAAUCUGCCUCACAGGUAUGAGGAAAUAGUAUAGUUACUAUUAAGGCUAAGCACAAAAUUACAAGAACGAAGCACCUUAUUUUUAUAACUAAGUAGAGUGGCAAUUAUCAGGUUUAGCCUAAAUGUGCUAACUAAAAAUAUAACAUAAUGUGAUGCCCCUUUUUUUUCAUUUUCUGUUUGCUAUGGUAGACAAGCAGUUCCUCUUCCUUCCGCAUAUACACUGCUUUCCCAUGAAGUCCUGAAAUAAAGAGCUUUCUCUUGAGAAUAGGUAUUAUUUGGAUAUGACUCUUUCUCUCUCAGCUACAUGCAAGCAACACUAGAUUUACAAACCAGGAAGAAUUUUAAAGUUAAUGAAAGUGCCCUUUAGGAGAAUACCAUGAACGUUUUUCAAAAUGGUGGGAUAACACAGGAAGGAAGCAACUUAUUGGGUUAUUAUUAGCUAAAAUAAAAGAGGAACUGAAAAGGCUUUAAAGUCCUGCAUGCACAUGCCUAC